ACGUUAUUCGGAAUCACUGGGCUUAAAGCGCGUGUAGGUGGAUGGGAACGUCGGUCGUUGAAAUCCCCCGGCUUAACCGGGGAAGUGGCGCCGAAACGACCCGUCUCGAGGAACGUAGGGGGAGCUGGAACUUCCGGUGGAGCGGUGAAAUGCGUUGAGAUCGGAAGGAACGCCCGUGGCGAAAGCGAGCUCCUGGACGUUUUCUGACACUGAGACGCGAAAGCCA
rnacentral:rRNA from 1 species